GUACCUAGACGGAAACCCAUACAAAUACAAGGAAGAAUUUUAUAAUUUUAGUUAAAUAUUGUAUUGAAAAUUUCAAAUUAAGCGAUACAUCACAAAUGAAUCUACACAAAGUCAAGAUUAGCCCAGGAGUUGCAUUUUUCUAAAAAAUGUAUCAAAGUAAGAACUUUCAAGUUUCUAGUGAUUACCUGUAAUAAUUUUUUUUUUUGUAACCAGUAGACGUUUCAACGAUCAACUAUCAUUCAAGCAGCAGGAUUCACGUUGACAAAAUGCAUUGUACACAGCGAGAUUCAACCACAGUAGUUUUGUUGACUUUUUUCGUUUUUGACUUAGGUAAAGCAACACCAUAAACGACUUUAUAGAUGUCAAGUGUGUUCUAAAUCCUUUGAUAUUCCAAUUAAUUGAUUUGAUCAUAUUGCGAAACACCACAAUCAGUCAGCUCAAUCGACCUCAAAUUGAAAGAGAAACUGAAUAUUCUUGUUCGGUUAAAACUAGAGUUAUGAAACCGGAACCACCCACGACUCAAGAAAAUAUUCAGCAAGUGGAGUCUCUUAUAGAUGAAGACAAAAAUCAACAGUUUUACAACAAAGGCACUGUCAAUUCGAAUAUGAUGUUGAAUGACAAUGUCUUCACUCAAGAAUCUGCAGAUGUUAAACAAAUAGACAAAACUGAUCAAGAAAUUCCAGAUAGUGUUAAAAAAAGUUUAUGUAUUUUAUGUUAGCUGCAAUCUAUAAGGAUAAUCUUUCAAACAGUGGGGAUACAUAAAACAAAGCUUAAGUUGAAUGAAAUUUAAUUAAAAGUUAGUAAUCGAUUUUAUUUUUAUAAGCUACUGUUUUAUAAUUUAAGAUUUAUUUUUCGCUUAGUUUUUUUUU